rnacentral:rRNA from 1 species
AUUGAACGCUGGCGGCAGGCCUAACACAUGCAAGUCGAACGAGUGGCGGACGGGUGAGUUAUGUCUGGGAAACUGCCCGAUGGAGGGGGAUAACUACUGAAAACGGUCGCUAAUACCGCAUACCAUCAUAUGUGCCCAUAUGGGAUUAGCUAGUAGGUGGGGUAACGGCUCACCUAGGCGACGAUCCCUAGCUGGUGUGAGAGGAUGAUCAGCCACACUGGGACUGAGACACGGUCCAGACUCCUACGGGAGGCAGCAGUGGGGAAUAUUGCACAAUGGGCGCAAGCCUGAUGCAGCCAUGCCGCGUGUAUGAAGAAGGCCUUAGGGUUGUAAAGUACUUUCAGCCGGGAGGCGUUACUCGCAGAAGAAGCACCGGCUAACUCCGUGCCAGCAGCCGCGGUAAUUC